ACGCCGCCGCCCUCGCCGUGGAUCGAUCCCGAGACGGUCUUGCCCGAGAUCCGGCCGAGAUCGCCGCCGCUGGAUGGGAGGAGCGGCCUAGAGGAGAGGAGGGGGAGGCGGCGGCGGCGAGCGAAGGGAUCGAGGACGCCAUCGAAGACCAGGCGUGGAGGCCACCAUGUCUGCGGUAGUCUGCGGGAAGAGGUCAUCUUCCAUCUUCGAGGAGCUCCUCCACAGCACCCCUCCGCCGGCCUCCAAGAGGGCCCGCUGCGCC
rnacentral:lncRNA from 1 species